CCCCGCGGCUCCCGGCGGGCGCCCGGCGGGUCCCUCCCGGCGCUGCGCGGGGCGAGCCCCGGCUCCUCUGGCCGGCUCGCUCUUUGAGGAAAGUCGCUUGGAGUUUAAGCUGUGAAUGAAAAGCCACUGGAGAAAACUGGUCUGGGGAAUUCACGUACCUGAUAACCAGACUACACACCAGGCUUCAGCAGAGCAAUUGCUGCAUACUGGCUCCCUGUGAGAAAUCAAAGGGCUGCCUGGGCAAGCAGUAUUUAUGAGAUUGUAACAUCCUCUCUUGUCUCGGUAGAGUGAAAUGUGUUUCAGAAAUAGAGUUUAGGCCAAAUCAACUUCUAAUAAAAAACAGAUUCACACUUGGUGAAUCUUUACACUAA